GCUCCUGUAGUCUAGUGGCCAAGGAUAUCGCCCUCUCGCGGCGAUGACCCGGGUUCAAAUCCCGGCAGGAGCA
rnacentral:tRNA from 1 species